CAGCCGCAACAGCCCGCUGGCUCGCACGGGGUGCUCUUCACCGAGUGUCCCGCGUGGCCGGCAGAGUUUACUUUGAAAAAAUUAGAGUGCUCAAAGCAGGCUACACUGACAGCCUGAAUGCCUAUGCAUGGAAUAAUGGAAUAGGACCUCGGUUCUAUUUUGUCGGUUUUCUGAACCCGAGGUAAUGACUAAUAGGAACUGGCGGGGGCAUUCGUAUUGCGACGCUAGAGGUGAAAUUCUUGGACCGUCGCAAGACGAACUACUGCGAAAGCAUUUGCCAAGGAUGUUUUCAUUAAUCAAGAACGAAAGUUAGAGGUUCGAAGGCGAUCAGAUACCGCCCUAGUUCUAACCAUAAACGAUGCUGACCAGCGAUCCGCCGGCGUUAUUCCCAUGACCCGGCGGGCAGCUUCCGGGAAACCAAAGUCUUUGGGUUCCGGGGGAAGUAUGGUUGCAAAGCUGAAACUUAAAGGAAUUGACGGAAGGGCACCACCAGGAGUGGAGCCUGCGGCUUAAUUUGACUCAACACGGGGAACCUCACCAGGCCCAGACACCGGAAGGAUUGACAGAUUGAGAGCUCUUUCUCGAUUCGGUGGGUGGUGGUGCAUGGCCGUUCUUANUUGGUGGAGCGAUUUGUCUGGUUAAUUCC
rnacentral:rRNA from 1 species